CACAACUCCUGGAUCACGUAUGGGGAGGGUGGGGUAGGGAUCUGGGAGUUGGGUGGGCAGAGGAAGAAAGCUACAGCCUUAUCUGAUGUAAUGAGAAGUCAGUUAGUAACACCUGAAACUGAAAACUCAAGAAGCAACAUUUCCAAGCAGCCUCACUGAAGAGAGAUCAUGAGCUGAUGGGAAAACUGAACACUGACUAAAUAUUGGAUCAUAUCGAGGAAUGAUUAUUAAUUUUUAAGUCUGCGACUGUUUUUGUCAUUUGUAAAGAUUGAGCAGUUUAACGUGAAAGAUGCUACGCGGGAAGAAAACUGAGCAGCAGAGUGCGUCAGGAGAGGCUCUUCCUGCCGCCUCUGACCUGACAGCAGCGGGCCGGGACCCGGGGGCCUCUGACCCGACAGCAGCUACUGUUUCCCAGGCUUGGGUUCCUCCUCUGUAAAAAUCUGAUCAAGGACAAUGGCAUUGAUUUUGGUGGCAGAAGUAGGAAGUGUUCGCAAAGUCAUUUCAGUUCCUCGGAGGUAAGAACUGUUACUGACCCCACUAACAUGAGGAAGGAUGGUCCCUGGAGAUGUACAGAGUCAGCCAAAUUUAGUUUUUCUCUGUUCUGCAAAGUCUAGUUUCUGUUUAGAGAUCAACCAGUAACGAGCAGAGGCAGGAACUGGCGUGUGGUGAGUACCUGUCACUCUCCGGAGCACUUGGGUGAGACACAGAAGUACUUCUUCAUCCGACAGAGUCUCCAUGAACUCAGACUCAAGCCCGGCAAUGAACCCACAGAGAACGUGGACAGACCUGCAUGGAGAAGGAGAGGCCUGGGAUGACCAGACCUGCAUGGAGAGAACCCUGGGAUGACGGCGUCCAGUCCAGCUCUCCGCCCGCGUCUCUCAGCAAGGAACCACUGAUGGAGCAGGGGCCCCAGAGGCACAAAGAGCCACCCCACGGAGCGUCCCUCAGGCAGCAGUUCGCAGAGUGUGGGCGGCAAAGUCCUGGGGGAGAAGACCCUGCCAGGGACCCUCAAGGUCACAGCCAUCUUCAGACGCUAAGACAGCAUUUGCUGUUUCCACCACGCCGACGUGCACCUGAGCAAGAACCAGGGCAGGUAAACCGUCCCUUAGCAGAAUCAAGCAGCAACAGGACCCACGUGCGCCUACAGGCGUUCCCACCACCACACAAGCAGGUUACAAAAUGCUGCUUUUUGCAGCCGUAAAAGAACGAGAUCAUGUCCUUUGCAGGGACAUGGAUGGAGCUGGAGGCCAUCAUCCUUAGCAAACUAACACAGGAACAGAAAAGCAGAUAGCACAUGUUUUCCCUUUCAAGUGGGAGCUAAAUGAUGAGAACACACACUGGCGCCUAUGGGAGGGUGGAGGAUGGGAGGAGGGAGAGGAGCAGGAAAAAUAACUAAUGGGUACUAGGUUUAAUUCCUGGGUGAUGAACUAAUCUGUACAACAAGCCCCCACGAUACACGGUUAGCUAUAUAACAAACCUGCACGUGUACCCCUGCCUCUGAAUAUGAAAGUUAAAAUAUAUAUAUUAAAAAAUAAAAAUGCUGCUUUCACUUGAGAAUGUCAUUGAUCAAAGGCAAUAAAAGUUACUAAUUUUAUUAAAUCUUGA